GACGAACGCUGGCGGCGCGCUUAACACAUGCAAGUCGAACGCAGCGGCGGACGGGUAAGUAACACGUUAGUAACCUGCCUUAGAAAUUGGGAUAGCAGCGGGAAACCGGGAUUAAUACCAAAAGGUCUAAGAGGGACUAGCGGCCCAUUCGCUAGUUGGUAGGUAACGGCCCACCAAGGAGGCGAUGGGUAACCGGCCUGAGAGGGUCAACGGCGACUUUGAAACUAAGAAACGGUCCGAACUCUACGGGAUGCAGCAGUGGGGAAUAUUGCACAAUGGAGGGAACUCUGAUGGUGCUCCGCCGCUUGAACUAAGAAGUCUGUCGAGUCGUAAAGUUCUUUUAUAUGGGAAGCGGUACCAAAAGAAAAAGCCCCGGCUAACUACGUGCCAGCAGCCGCGGUAAUAC
rnacentral:rRNA from 1 species